rnacentral:rRNA from 1 species
GAUAAACGCUAGCGGCAGGUUUAACACAUGCAAGUCGAGGGGCAGCAUAGAUUGUAGCAAUACAAUUGGUGGCGACCGGCGCACGGGUGCGUAACGCGUAUGCAACCUACCCGUCACAGGGGGAUAAUCCGGAGAAAUCUGGUCUAAUACCCCAUAACAUAUGGAUCGGCAUCGGUUCAUGUUGAAAUUUUCGGAGGUUACGGAUUGGCAUGCGUUGCAUUAGCUUGUUGGUGAGGUAACGGCUCACCAAGGCGACGAUGCUUAGGGGGACUGAGAGGUUUUCCCCCCACACUGGUACUGAGACACGGACCAGACUCCUACGGGAGGCAGCAGUGAGGAAUAUUGGUCAAUGGGCGCAAGCCUGAACCAGCCAUGCCGCGUGCAGGAUGACGGCUCUAUGAGUUGUAAACUGCUUUUGUACGAGGGUAAAGUGGGUUACGUGUAACCUUUUGAAAGUAUCGUACGAAUAAGGAUCGGCUAACUCCGUGCCAGCCGCCGCCGUAA